CGAUUUUGACGUUUUUAGUCCUGCAAGCCAGAUGGUCAUAAAAUGUUACAUGCAGGUCCGGAGUUUGGAUUUUACCUACUUUUUCUCUGUUUUACAGCUUGAUUUCGUUAAGAUGACGUCUACCUUGUUGGAGAUUGUUCUUUCCUGAUGUGGAAGUUUGGUUUGGGUCUUCGGUUCAGAAGGCAAAGAAGAGGAAGUGGAAGUACUAAGCAAG